rnacentral:rRNA from 1 species
CUACGGGUGGCUCCAGUGAGGAAUUUUGCGCAAUGGGCGAAAGCCUGACGCAGCAACGCCGCGUGAGUGAUGAAGGCCUUCGGGUCGUAAAGCUCUGUCAAGUGGGAAGAACCUAUGUAAUGUUAAUAUCAUUAUAUACUGACGGUACCACUGAAGGAAGCACCGGCUAACUCCGUGCCAGCAGCCGCGGUAAUACGGGGGGUGCAUGCGUUAUUCGGAAUCAUUGGGCGUAAAGGGCACGUAGGCGGCCUGGUAAGUCAGAUGUGAAAGCCCGGGGCUUAACCCCGGAAGUGCAUUUGAUACUGUCAGGCUUGAGUAUGGGAGAGGGAAGUGGAAGUCCUGGUGUAGAGGUGAAAUUCGUAGAUAUCAGGAGGAACACCGGUGGCGAAGGCGACUUCCUGGACCAAUACUGACGCUGAGGUGCGAAGGCGUGGGUAGCAAACAGGAUUAGAUACCCGUGUAGUC